GACGAACGCUGGCGGCGUGCUUAACACAUGCAAGUCGAACGGAAAGGCCUCUUUCGGGGGGUACUCGAGUGGCGAACGGGUGAGUAACACGUGAGUAACCUGCCCUUGACUUUGGGAUAACUUCAGGAAACUGGGGCUAAUACCGGAUAGGAGCUCCUGCUGCAUGGUGGGGGUUGGAAAGUUUCGGCGGUUGGGGAUGGACUCGCGGCUUAUCAGCUUGUUGGUGGGGUAGUGGCUUACCAAGGCUUUGACGGGUAGCCGGCCUGAGAGGGUGACCGGCCACAUUGGGACUGAGAUACGGCCCAGACUCCUACGGGAGGCAGCAGUGGGGAAUAUUGCACAAUGGGUGGAAGCCUGAUGCAGCAACGCCGUGUGCGGGAUGACGGCCUUCGGGUUGUAAACCGCUUUCGCUCAUGACGAAGCUUUGUGUGACGGUAGUGGGUAAAGAAGCACCGGCUAACUA
rnacentral:rRNA from 1 species